UUUUUUUUGAGUAUAUCGAUUAUGAUGACCGCUGUCGCCCCAAACGGAUUUCGAAAAUAUGAACGAUUCGACUAGCAUUAGCCAAACACUGAAAAUUCUGAUCAAUCGAUUACUUUAUUAAAA